rnacentral:rRNA from 1 species
ACGGAAGGCAGCAGUGGGGGAUAUUGCACAAUGGAGGAAACUCUGAUGCAGCAACGCCGCGUGAGGGAAGAAGGUUUUCGGAUUGUAAACCUCUGUUUUUAGUGAAGAAACAAAUGACGGUAGCUAAAGAGGAAGCCACGGCUAACUACGUGCCAGCAGCCGCGGUAAUACGUAGGUGGCAAGCGUUGUCCGGAUUUACUGGGUGUAAAGGGUGUGUAGGCGGGACUGCAAGUUGGAUGUGAAAUACCGAGGCUUAACCGCGGAGCUGCAUUUAAAACUGUGGUUCUUGAGUGGAGUAGAGGUAAGCGGAAUUCCGAGUGUAGCGGUGAAAUGCGUAGAUAUUAGGAGGAACAUCAGUGGCGAAGGCGGCUUACUGGGCUCUAACUGACGCUGAGGCACGAAAGUGUGGGUAGCAAACAGGAUUAGAUACCCUGGUA